CCUGGGAGAAAUUGGUAUUGGCUCGCCCCCACAGAAGUUCACUGUCAUAUUUGAUACUGGCAGUUCCAAUCUUUGGAUUCCAUCAUCAAAAUGCCACUUGUCUCUUGCCUGCUAUUUCCAUUCUAGGUACAAGUCAAGUAGAUCCAGUACAUAUGCCAGGAAUGGAACAACUUGUGAAAUACAGUAUGGAUCUGGAUCAAUUGUUGGUUUCUUGAGUCAAGAUAAUGUUGAAGUUGGAAAUCUCAUUGUCAAGGAUCAAGUUUUCAUUGAGGCUACACGAGAAGGAAGUCUCACAUUUGUCUUGGCAAAGUUUGAUGGAAUUCUUGGGCUUGGGUUUCAGGAAAUCUCAGUUGGGAAUGCUGU
rnacentral:misc_RNA from 1 species